rnacentral:rRNA from 1 species
UACAGAGGUCCCAAGCGUUGUUCGGAUUCACUGGGCGUAAAGGGUGCGUAGGCGGUCGGGUAAGUCUGAUGUGAAAUCUCCAAGCUUAACUUGGAAAUGGCAUCGGAUACUAUUCGGCUCGAGGAAUGGAGGGGAGACUGGAAUACUUGGUGUAGCAGUGAAAUGCGUAGAUAUCUGGAGGAACACCGGAGGCGAAGGCGGAUCACUGGACUGCCACUGACGCUGAGGCGCGAAAGCUAGGGGAGCAAACAGG